AGCGGGAGCUCACCCCGUCGCGGGGAUUCGAACUGCCGACCUUCUGAUCAGCAAGCCCUAGGCUCUGUGGCCACCCGUGUCCCUACGGAAAAAGCCUAUCGCAGACCAAAUCCCCCUCCCAAACCUGGUAUGUAAGGGCUUCCGGUUUUUCCGCCCUCCGUUGUGGAUGUGCUUUGCGGGUUCUCCGUGCCUAGCAGCUGUUAGAGGGAACUUUGGGGGGCAACGCGGAGGCUACACGACCCUCAAAAAGGCUCUGGGCGUGGCCCAGGGCUGACAUUGUCCGGCAGCGUCAAAAAAGGAACCCUUCGAAGCCCACGUCCUAAGCAGGAGGUGAGUCGACAGAGAGUACCUAGACGCAAGGACACGAGCAAUCCUCAGCAGCAAGCCUCAAAGUCCCAAACGGUAAGAACGGCAGCUAACAAGGAGAGCUUGAGGAGAAGAGGGUCUGUGAGACUUAUUUAUACAAACUGAACUGCUCAGAAACAGACCCGAAAGGCUAGCACAUAAAGAGUAAAGAACGGGAGAUUUUAUCUUAAACAUAUUGGAAAUCUUUCUCAUUAUACGUAACCAUAAGCAAAGAUUUCUCUAACAAGUACCAGUAAGAAAAGGAAGACAGAUUCAAAUUUCACUCUGCAGCAGCAGUAGUAGCCCAUUAAAAGAAGCGGAAUUCAAGGACUUAACUUGUUUUUUACUUUGAAGUGGCGUGAGCCCAGCGAAAGAGACUGAGUUAAAAGACUUGGAUUGUCAGCGCUGUUUGUGGUAAAAGAGUGGAAGUUACUGGAAAACAAAGGUAAAAGAGAAGGCAACACUUUUAAUAUUGAACUUAUAUUAAACACUAACCUAUAAAGAUGGCAAAGAUGGCGUAGCGUGGUCUAGGAGAAGGAGGAGGUGGUUUGUGAGAAAGGAAAUACGUUUUCUGGUGUAACGAAGAGACUUUCUUCAUCUAAAGUAUAAGUAGGAUUCCUAAUUCCUUCUGCAUUCUGUUUCUUUUACUAUCCCUCAAGAUUCAGAAACGUAGGGAACCAUGUCAUGGUUAAAUUAGUUUAUAAAGAUUGGCUGCGUGAGCUGCUGGUCUCCUGCUGUCACGUGCCAAAGAUCCAUCCCCUGGUCUGUGAGGAGGAGGAGGAGGAAGAGAUAUUGGAAGAGAAAUGGGAGGAUGAAGUGAUGGUUAUGAAGAUCAGAAGGAAUCUUUAGUGAAGGAACAGGGAGGCCAGAGAAAAUCCCGCUGGCUGGAGAUCGGGGAGGCAGCUCCCUCAUUCAAGAAGAAUUCAGGGAUGGGAUGAGGACUUUGGGAUGAGAAACUAUUUGAGGAUAGUUCAGACGAGAGGAGGAAGAUUUUGAGGAAGCAAACAUGUUUUUUAGCGCAACGAAUUGACUUUCUUCAUCUAAAGCGUAAGUAGAAUGCCUAAAUCACUGUGCUACAUGAAAAGGAAGAGGUAUCGAACUUUUUAAAAUAAACUAAACAAAACUGCUUAACCCACUAAAAUAUAUAUUUUUAAAAAUGAAUAUUAAAGGGAGCCAUGUCCCUUGUAAAGACAGGUAGCUAAAGUGACGGUGUCAUGUCCUCCAUUGUGACACGUUCUCCGGCUGACAGACUUGGCUGACAACUUUGGGAAGAGCAACUAUUUGAGGAUAGUUCAAAGAAAAUAGGUUGUUGGUGUGAAUUGUGUUUUCUGAAAAAUGAAAAUUUAUUCAUCUCGUGUAUACGUAGGAUCUCUUAUUCUUCCUGCAUUUUGCUUCAUUUGCUAUCCCUCAAGAUUCAGAUAUAUAAGGAACCAUAUCAUGGUUAGAUUAAUUUUUAAAGAUUGACCUCAGGACCCUCUUAGAUCCUUUGAGGGAAAUGGCUUGCCUUCUCCCUUGCGGGCAUCACCACAAGAAAGGGAUCUCCCAGUUCUGGAGGGUCUCUUGACAAGAUGCCCUCCUCUCUGGUUUCAGCUGCUUGCUGCAAUCGCCAUGAGAGGUUUCUGAAAGUAGGUUUAUCUGCCAGAUAAAGAGUAUCAAGGAAGCAUCUAGAACCCAUUUCCUGACUAUUUUCCCUCUUCUUCCCUAGAUUCUGCAGUCUGAGAAGGCUGGGUGAGCUGCUGGUCUCCUGCUGUCGUGCCACAAAAAUCCAUCCCCUGGUCUGUGAGAAGGAGGACACAGUGAGUGUAAUGAAGGAUGGAAAGGAAAGAAGGGUAAAGGUGAGAACGAUCUACGUAAGGCCAAGGGACCAGAGGAUGGAUACCACAGAUGCUACUACCAAUGGCAGUGAUAGCAGUGAGGCCAGCAGCUCCAGUACAGCUCUACCCCGCUCCAAGACCCAGUUCUCCCUUCGCCCAAAACCCAAGUGUC